AAUGUGGAUUUUCAAGGGAUCUCUUUAUUCAGUGGUGUCAGGACCCUAAGAACUCAAUUAUUCUAACUUACAGAACUACUCCUGGGACUCUAGCAUGUUUCCUAAUUGAUAAUCCUUCUGAAAAAAUUACAGAAAUAGAGUUGAAGAAGCGUGUGAAGCUUGAAGGGAAAGAACUUGAGGAAUACUUGGAAAAAGAAAAACUAAAGAAAGAAGCUGCUAAAAAACUCAGGCAGUCAAAAGAGGCAGAUAUAUUCUAGUGAUGUGAGUGACAUUGAGGAAGAUAUUGACCAGCCGUCAGCUCAUAAGACAAAGCAUGACCUGAUGAUGAAAGGCGAAGGGAGUCGUAAAGGAAGUUUCUUCAAACAGGCAAAAAAGUCUUAUCCUAUGUUUCCUGCCCCAGAAGAAAGAAUUAAAUGGGAUGAAUAUAGAGAGAUUAUCAAACCAGAGGAUUUCUUAGUGCCAGAACUUCAAGCUACUGAAGAAGAAAAAAGCAAAUUAGAAUCCGGUUUGACAAAUGGAGAUGAACCUAUGAAUCAGGAUUUAUCUGAUGUUCCUACUAAGUGCAUUUCCACUAUGGAGUCUAUUGAAAUAAAAGCCAGGGUUACUUACAUAGACUAUGAAGGACGCUCUGAUGGAGAUUCCAUUAAAAAAAUCAUUAAUCAGAUGAAAUCACGACAGUUGAUUAUUGUCCAUGGCCCACCAGAGGCCAGUCAAGAUCUGGCUGAGUGCUGCCGUGCAUUUGGUGGGAAAGAUAUUAAAGUGUACAUGCCAAAGCUGCAUGAAACAGUUGAUGCCACUAGUGAAACACACAUCUAUCAGGUGAGAUUAAAAGACUCACUGGUCAGCUCCCAGCUUUUGUAAAGCCAAAGAUGCUGAAUUAGCUUGGAUAGAUGGUGUCUUAGACAUGAGAGUUUCCAAAGUGGACACCGGAGUUAUUUUAGAAGAAGGAGAACUGAAGGAUGAUGGAGAAGACUCAGAAAUGCAAGUAGAUGCUCCUUCAGAUUCUAGCGUUAUAGCACAACAAAAGGCCAUGAAAAGUCUGUUUGGAGAUGAUGAGAAAGAAACAGGUGAAGAAAGUGAGAUCAUUCCUACUUUGGAGCCCUUGCCACCUCAUGAGGUUCCUGGACAUCAGUCAGUUUUUAUGAACGAACCAAGGCUAUCAGACUUCAAGCAAGUUCUUUUAUGGAAGAACUUUUAUGCUUUUAUUCAAGCUGAAUUUGUAGGAGGUGUGCUUGUUUGCAGCAAUCAAGUAGCAGUCCGUAGAACGGAAACUGGUCGCAUUGGAUUAGAAGGCUGCCUUUGUCAAGAUUUUUAUAGGAUAAGAGACCUUUUAUAUGAACAAUAUGCCAUUGUGUAAAGGACAUGAUGUCAAAAAAGUGAUAGAGCUCCCAG